CCUACGGGUGGCAGCAGUGGGGAAUAUUGGACAAUGGGGGGAACCCUGAUCCAGCCAUGCCGCGUGUGUGAAGAAGGCCCUCGGGUUGUAAAGCACUUUCAGUGAGGAAGAACGCCUGGUGGUUAAUACCCAUCAGGAAAGACAUCACUCACAGAAGAAGCACCGGCUAACUCCGUGCCAGCAGCCGCGGUAAUACGGAGGGUGCGAGCGUUAAUCGGAAUUACUGGGCGUAAAGCGCGCGUAGGUGGCUUGAUAAGCCGGUUGUGAAAGCCCCGGGCUCAACCUGGGAACGGCAUCCGGAACUGUCAAGCUAGAGUGCAGGAGAGGAAAGUAGAAUUCCCGGUGUAGCGGUGAAAUGCGUAGAGAUAGGGAGGAAUACCAGUGGCGAAGGCGGCCUUCUGGACUGACACUGACACUGAGGUGCGAAAGCGUGGGUAGCAAACAGGAUUAGAUACCCUAGUAGUC
rnacentral:rRNA from 1 species